GCACGAUGAUAUUUCCCUUCAUGGUUUUUUAAGGAAAAAGUAUGUACAAAUGUAAGAAGCACACACGAAAAAUAUUAGGGGUUGGCGAAGAAUUUAAACAAGAGAGACAUGUGGAACGUAGAAAUGGGAGCCUCGUCCUUCCUCACGCUUCCGAGCCAACAGGCACGCGACGCUAGCGGUUUGCGAGGGCAUCCUGCCGGGGCUCGAGUGGGUGUUUUGCUUUUAUAAAAAUACGAUUAUACCAAACGCACUGCCCUGCACCUUGCGGUGUCUGGAUUUUGGAGGAAUGUUUCGUUUCUGAGGGGCUCCUUUUUGCACUGAUGUGGGCUUGCAAGUGGUCUGCUCCGGACUAGCCCCGUGUCCGUGGUUUCUGCUGGAGGAUAGCAGAGGGAUGCCUUAUGGUCUUGGUUGCUUUCAAACAGCGAUCGAUGCCUUUCCUGCUGCAGAGGGGAAAGUGGGGGUGGUGUGUCCUUGCGUUUCCCUGCAGGGGCUGCGUGGCACGAAGACUGUAAGGCAGAGGUCCCCACAGCAUGAUGCCCGGGUUAGACACGGAGGACCUGUGACCUCGUCUAGGCUUUCUCUUUGGCGCUAUAUUGCAGAGCAGUUCUGGCCGAGAACAGUGCUGACAGAAAGAGCUUCUGAAUUGGUAUAAGAACAGUUAUUUUGCAAAAGGGCAAAACUGAAAAAAAAUUGUUUUAAAGAGCAUUACAGUUAUAGAAAUGUGUCGCCUAAAAUACUUUGUGACGGUUUGUGGGAAUGUUCUGAGCCACAUUAUGAAAGAAGGACGCUGAGCCAGAGUUUUCAAGGGUGAUCUGAAAAACCAACCCUGAGCCCGAAGAGCCUGACCCACCCUGGGGAUGUCACAACGCUCAGCUCCCAGCGCCUCCUGGUGCUGGCCCCCGGGCGCACUCCUGCAGAGGGCGGGGUUUAAAGGAGAGGGUUUGCACUUUGAUUAAGAAGGGACACGAUCCACCCAGCACGUCCUCCACUGUCACGGCUCCUCACUGCCGACGAUGGAGCAGCUCAGGUAGAAACAGACACAGUCAUGAUUUGUGACUUAGCAAGGGACACGAGGGCCAUGCUCGGGUGGGUUCCCCUGAGUUUGGGCUUGUCUCCUUGGGGUCUUAGGCUUGUCCUGGCGACCACAGCCCCGCCCCGAGCUCCCUGCUCCCCAGCCGAGUCCCUGUGCAGCCGCCCUGGAGCUCUCUCCCAGGAUCUCUCUGUCCACCGCUGCCUGUGUUUGCUCUCCUGCUUGGACAGGUUGACCCCGAGCUGCAGACUCCUAACCUCAGUGGGGGCAGAGGGCAAAGGCAGUGAACCCCCACGGCUCCCCCAAACCACGCGGUUGAUUCCCGUAGUACGUGGUCGAGCAAACCAGAGACGAACAGUCCACACCACUUCACCUACACAAGUUCCAACCAGGCAGAUCGGAUCUACGUUACUGCACGUGAGGCCAGGUUUACCCUGCAGGGGUGAGUGGUGAUGUGAGGGGGCACAGGGGCUUCUGGGGGUGAUAACGGGCCGCGUGUGAAAUCCACGGAGGCCUGUGUGCGUGAUCUGUGCACUCACUGUGCCCCCGCCACCCUGCGAGACAUGUUCAGGGAUGCGUGCCCCGAAAGCAACCGGGCGUUGACGGGACACAGAGGAGUGCAGGUAUGUGCUGGCGUGCUGGAAUAGGUGCCCAGGGCGGGAGGCAAUGAGGCGGACGGGGCCCAGGACUUUUCUCCUGCCUCCUGGGCAGCCCAGGGGACAUCCAGGGUUCCCUGGCGACAGCCGAGUCCCCCCCUCCCUCCCCAAGCUGUCCCCUGCAGCCCUGCACUGCUGGAGACCCAGCCCCGGCUGGCAGGAAAGGAGGAAAGUCCCCACUGGUUUCUUUCUCUUGCCGCUGAAGGAGCUGCAGGUAUUUGUUCCUGAAACUCACAGCUGAGCUAAUUUUACACCACAAGUGAGACACUGGGGAGAGAAACGAAACGAUGCUCCCGGGGGUCUGAUCCGAGCAGGAUGGGAACCCUGGCCGGAUGGCGGGGGUGACGCUGGCCGACGGGGUGGCGGAGCAAGGAAAACUGAAGCCAACACUGAAAGCCCAUCAUGACUUCGCAAGAACACCAGUGGGGCCCAGGUUGGCAGGAUGCCUGUCGUCACAUGAGCACGCGGGGGGCUGUCCCGGCUUUGAGGACACAACACGCCAAGGGAAGGCUUUACAUCAAAUAACGCUGCCUAAAAAUAACUCAUUUGCUGCAACUACUUGGGACAUACGAUCACCCAAAAUGCUUCCAGAACUCUGAACAACCAAAAGACAGGAAAGGUGUUAAAGACAUCUGUACGUGAGGUUGUCAGUCACACUUACUCACGCCAGGAGGUCUCUUCUUUCUCCCGGCCGCGGGAGCCUGUGGGAACGGCGGGAAGGAAAUCAGAGCGAAUUUUCUCUGAAACGCUUCCCUGGAUCCUUUAGCUGGCUCGCCCUCAGAAGCUGCCGACCAUUCUUAAAAGAGCAAGUGUUAUUUCUGAUCUUAUUUUUCCAGAGGACGGCGGAACUUCAUGUCCUUCCCCCCUCACGCCCGCCACGGACAGGAGUUAAAAUAGGAAAAAUGCUUGGGUUAGCAAGAACAGACAGGCUGCGUGAGCAAGGUCAUAUCCGGCAUCCUCGGAAUGUUGGGGACCCCAGAGCAUUGUCAGGAUUGUGCCCAAAGUCAGACAUUGUGGAGCCUCAGUUGGACAUGAAAGGGGACAUGGCGGAGAGAAAUGAAGGCCCUGGUGAUGCUGAGAGGCAGGCGUGAGCCUCGGAGCCUCCACUCAAGAAGAAGAAAGUGUGUUCUGGAGUCAGAGAACAUGUGAGUUGGGGACUCUGGAGAGGGAGGGGAGACUUGUGGGUUAUGGAAGCAGGAGGAGAAGAAGUCAGGGAGAGGAAGAAAGUAAAAUGCUGAGCACAAAACUCAGCCCUGAGCUUCCUGGAAGCCACAGCAAAAAGGGAGCACGAUGAGCUCUUGUCUAGGAAGAAGCGGACAGGCCACCCCUGCAGACCUGGUGGAUCAUGGCAGGCCUGGCAUCGUCCCCAGCCCAAGAGCGCCUGCCGACCCGGGUGUGUUCCGCUCCACGCCUCAGCAGUGUGGCCAGCUCCUGGCUCUGCCUCCCUCCCCAACUGCUGCAACAUCAGAAAUUCCCGCCUCCCACCUCCAUGCCAGCUCUGGCCUCCGAUCCUUUCUCUCCUGGCCGGGGUCUCCGUUCGGACCUGCAACUUUCCUGGCUCUGACGUCUGCUGCCUGUGGUCUCUGAGGUGCAGCUCUGGGCACGUGAGAUGAUGUGUUGGUUUCCCCCGUGAUUCCACUGGGUUUCUUCACGUAUUUUGAAGCUGUUAGUAGGGGUUAAUAUAGCUUGUUCUAUGUUCCUAACAAAGUGACCCUGUUGUCACUAGGAAAUGGCCAUCUCGCCCUGGUGGUGUUUUGCCCUAGAGUCUCCUUCGUCUGAUAUUUAUACGGCUGCCCCUAUUUCCCUCUAAUACAUAAUACACAAGUAUUAGAUAUUGCCAUUAGGUUAAAUUACGAAAAAGCCACACACGUGAACAUACUUGACAGCCCUAUCUCUUAAAAUGGUUCUAGGGUGGACAGCACAGAAGGGAGAAGGUGGGGUCCCAGCACCAGGCACUGUGCUAACACUCCCUGAUUCUCUCCCUCCGUUUCCCCGAAUCCUACGUGACGGGUGUUUUGUCGCUCCCAUUUUGCGAAGAAGAAAACAAAGAUGUAGUUUGAGAGGAAUGCCGGCCGUGCUUCCCUCACCGAGCGGAAGAGCCAAGCUUUGCCCGAGACUGCUGGUGUCAGAGGUCACGCUCCUGGUGCGGCACCCGGCGCGGCACCCUGCACGUGGACACUAUGAGCUUGGAGAGACACACCUGUCUGAGGUCCUGUGGGCAAGAAGUGGCAAAGCCAGGCUUGGAGAGGCCAUGUCGCGUGCUCACAAACACUCGGAAGGCAGGUGGUGGGGCUGGGGCUCGCGCCAGAUCUCUAUGGGUCUAGCAACGUGAGUUCACAGAUGACCGACCCACCGUGAGCUCUCUGGGGGACGUUCCAGGCACAGUCCCAACCUUUUGAAAUGGCUGUCAUGGAAUGAAAACACCUCGGUUUUUGCUGUCAGAGGCCGAAACGCCUCUGGCAUCAAAGGUGGAGGUGGUCAGGUGCUUUCCUGCGCUCUGUAGCAUGUGCGCGUUGGUGGAGCCUUCUGGACGUUCCUCCCAGGUGGGGAGCUGCCAUGCUCUGCUGACCCUGACAGGCGAGAAAACAGACAUGGCCAGCUGUGUGUGUGGACAGCAGGACCACAUGCGAUCACACGUGCCGCGUGCCAGCCACAAGGGGGGGGUCCUGCUGCGCACAUGUGAAGACCUGCCCCCUGGCCUCUCCCGCCUCUGUCCUCACGCAUCUUCCCGGGUCUGACGCCAGACUUACCUGGGGUCCCGGCACCUGCCGAUCCUCUCUCCACGGGGUCCCCCCUGGACGGAGUCUGACGGUUGUUCUAGAUAAAGCAGAAAGUACAUUUGGUCUUUGCUGGACACACAGUAACCACUCUCAUCAGCAGCAUGAUCUGAAAUAUCUACUCUGGCUGGAAGAUAUCCUCAUGUUCCAGUUUUGUUCUGGGUCAUUCGUUCGAGAAGCCUGGAGGGCCCACCUCUCCUUUGGCUGCCUUACUGCUUCCGCUGCCCAGAGAGGUCUACCUGCGUGAUCUUCUGGCUGCACGACCGUGCACGUCCCCCGACUAAAGUCAGCAUCCCCCCCCUCCCCGGCUCCUCUGGUCUUUUUAUUCGUGGUUCCAGCUCAUCCUCGUUACCCGCUCCACGCCUCAGCAGUGUGGCCAGCUCCUGGCUCUGCCUCCCUCCCCAACUGCUGCAACAUCAGAAAUUCCCGCCUCCCACCUCCAUGCCAGCUCUGGCCUCCGACCCUUUCUCUCCCGGCCGGGGUCUCCGUUUGGACCUGCAACUUUCCUGGCUCUGAUGUCUGCUGCCUGUGGUCUCUGAGGUGCAGCUCUGGGCACGUGAGAUGAUGUGUUGGUUUCCCCCGUGAUUCCACUGGGUUUCUUCAUGUAUUUUGAAGCUAUUAGUAGGGGUUAAUAUAGCUUGUUCUAUGUUCCUAACGAAGUGACCCUGUUGUCACUAGGAAAUGGCCAUCUCGCCCUGGUGGUGUUUUGCCCUAGAGUCUCCUUCAUCUGAUAUUUAUACGGCUGCCCCUAUUUCCCUCGUUCCGCCACACCCCUGCCUUAACGUUGCGUGCAUUGACAGCGGGGCUCCUGCAGGCAUCGGGUGGACGUGGCCGCUUGUGGACACUUUUGAGCUUUGUUCUGAGGAUCGGGGAAGUUUCCCGGAAACCAGACAGUUGUUACUGUCCCAAAGCACAGAUACCGAAUCCUCACGUCGUUCUGUGGGGGGUGGGGGGACCCUCACGUCCACCAGACACUCCCGAAAAGUUUGAGACCGACCACCAGAGUGAAAACCCAGCAAAGGGAGAGCUUUACACUGGGCAUCGGGCAUGACUGGCCGCUUGGCAGGUCCCCGUCGUGUGUGCCUGCGAGGGAGUGGGAAGCUCUCUGCUCCGCAGCUAGCGUGGAGAAGACACCGCUUGCUCGCAAGUAAGCUUCCCAUGCCCCCGCCACUCCGGUUUCUGUGUAUUUAAUACGUUAUCCGUGUGGCUCCACUUUUUCAUCUGCAAAACGGGCAAAGCGAUGGUGCCUGCCUUACAGACUUGCUGUGGGGACGGCAUGAGCUCUCGUGUGUAAGACACUUCCCUCAACACCCGGCACAUCGUGAGGGCUCAAUAAAGCAGUCCUUGUUAAUUGUAAUAAUUAGUAUUUUCUCACCUCCAGCAGCCCGAGGAGGCAGGAAUUCUCAUCCCCAUUUUACAAAACCAGGCGGGGAGGACGCUGUAUUCCUCGGUGGCGGUCAAGGAGAGGGGCUUCGGCGAAGGGCUCGCCUCUCCCCUGCAGACAUCGUUCAUGGUCACGUCGUGGGGUGCUCCAUGUGAGCUGGGCCCGGAGGCCAGCGGCAGCCCAGCCGGCUGGACCUGACUGCAGUGCGAUCUUCCAGGGGGCCAGGCUCUGCGUCUCCAACAGCAGGUGGAGAACAGCACAUCAAAACCAGAAGAUGAACCAAAAGGUUCCUGGUGGGUUCUAGAAGUUCCGACCACAAGGAUGAGGAAGAAUGUGCUGACUUGUAUAACAAGUUGGUUUGAACGUGCUUCUGGUGUGGGGUGAGUGCUCUCUGAGGCUUCCGAAGUUUCAGAGGGAUGACAAACUUCCAAGAGCUUCCUUGAGAAAGUGCUGGAGCCUUGGCUGCUGCCCACACGGACACGGGCCGCAGAGGUGCUGGAAAGAGGAACCGAUGCGCCGCAGGAGCCACCCGGCUUGUCCCGACCGUGUGGGGCGCGUCAGGCCCCCAGAGGCGGAGCCCAGGCAGGGCGAGCCGAGCAAGAGACCGACGGGGGCACAUGCCUGUGAUACGCCCAAGUGCGAGGGGCUACGUAGAGAAGGAUUCUCGCGUUCCCUCGUGGCAGCUGCCUCCGAUGGGAAGCAAGGUCCCUUUUCCUGACGCUUCAUUACUGCUCAGAAUUUGUCAUUGCCAGGAACCACCUGGAACUGGGUGUGGGAGGAGAGGGGGCGCCAGGCCGUGCCAGGACACCUGGGUUUGAAUCUCCUUUGCUGCUUACCCGCGCUGGGGCCUGGGCUAGUCCCUCAUCUGUAGAGUGGGGACUGCCCGUCCCGCCAGGUGAGUGGGUGUGAUGGUAUCCACCAGUCACACGAAACGUGUGAGUCCAAAUUUAGAUGUGCCUGAAACUACGCAGCUGAUUUCAAAUACUUCAUGAGAAAACUAACGUAAAAUACUUGCUAAUGUGGUUUCAAUAUCGGAUUACUUGUUAAAAGGAUAACACUUUGGAUAUAUUGGGUGAAGUAAAAUAUACUAUGAUAUG